ensembl:processed_transcript
ACCAUAGAUUUAGAUUAAUUAAUUUUAAGUCUUAUUUUACUCUUAUUAUAUUUAUCUGUUUUUCAGCUACAGUAAUUGAUGUUAAAAAACUGAUGCUACCAAUCACUCCUCACUUGAUUGUUCAAGCCCAAAUUGUGAUGGACCUGGAAUGCGACACCAGUUACUCUUAAGACAAGAACCGAAUAAAGCACAGAUGUGGAGGGAUUUGCAGCCAAACUAACUGGAGGGAAGGAACCUUUAGUGUGGGUGAACAUACUACCUGGAUGUCCAACAAAGGCUGCACAAGAGCUCAUUUGAUAGCACAUAUUCUGUCCUGUCUACAUCUCUGAUGACCUGGAAGUGCUUCGACAUCAGAUCAUCAUCAUGCUGCUGCCCUUUUUCACUGUCCCUUUCCACAUCAUUUGGCCUUCAUCAUUUCCUGUCUUGUAGCAGUAUUUUCACCUGUUUUUAAAAUUGUAAUAAUUUUUGAUGCAUUAAUUGUUGACUGGUUUUAAUGAUCAAUUGUUUAUUAGUGUUCUGUUGCUCUGUUAUAUUGAAUUACUGCUACUGUUUUAGCAUGGUUUACACAAUAAACCUUUAUUGUGAA